UUCAUUUUCAAUUUUGCACAGAAGUGGCUAUGUAGUAUUAGCAAUUCUUAACAUGUCUUUAAUGUUUUAAUAGACUUGUUAAGUAAUACUUUUAUCAAAUCUAGGAAUGGAUGUUCACUGUCUUGUAAAGCCAAAGGUUUAUCUAAAACUGGCUAGUAGCAGUGCCAAAAUGUGUUUAAAAUAAUAAAUUUAGAUGGCUCUGUACUCGCUCCUAAUUUUACUUUUUUGCAGCUUGUAGUAAUAUAUUUAAGUUUAUGGUUUAAAUAUAAAGUUGUAUGCAUUCAAAGCUUUGUAUUUGUCAAGUUUAAUAUUAAUAGGGAUGAAUAGUCUAACAUUUAUUCAUGUUAGUGUUCUCUUGUAUUCUGUAUUCACACAUUUAACAUUAUUUACCGUUUUAUUAAUUUAAAGGAUGGUGCAAACCUUGUAGUACUUAUAACUAUUUAUUUAACCUAUUGUUUAAAGUAAUAUUAAUGUGACAGUAUUAUUUAUUUCUUAGCAGACGCCCUUAUCUAGGGUGACUUACAAUUGUUACAAGAUAUCACAUUAUUUUUACAUACAAUUACAUUUUUUUUUACACAUUAUUUUUACAUACAAUUACCCAUGUAUGCAGUUUGGUUUUUACUGGAGCAAUCUAGGUAAAGUACCUUGCUCAAGGGUACAGCAGCAGUGUCCCCCAUCUGGGAUUGAACCCAUGACCCUCCGGUCAAGAGUCCAGAGCCCUAACCACUACUCCACACUGCUGCCCUAUACAGUAUCUGUUUAAUGCUUAAGCAAUUUUUCCUAUUUACCUCAAAUCCUUUCAAUGAUACCCCUUGCAUAACUCAAGUCAUUUCUUCUUUCAUGUUGGUAUGUGUAAUCUUUGACCUGUGCUACUUAUUGAAUUUUCUGUUUUGUCAAUGUGAGGUAAACUGCUUGAUUAACUACAUAUCUUUAUUUACAAGCCUUAAAUACAAUGUGAAUGCUGUUAUUUUCAGACAAAGAAAUGGUGUAAGGUAUCUGAAGACACCUAUGGGUCUUUGCCCCUCUGUUUUUCAAUUUGGGUAGAUUUUACCAAAAAAGACACCAGGCCUGUCUGGCACUUUUCAGGUAUUCUGUGUAUACAGGUUGAGUUCGGUUCCCAAUGUUCUGGUGCUAGUUUCACAAAGCACCUCUAGCACUUGGCAGGCUUAUUUUUUUUUACCUCUUUCAAAAAAAUGUUUUUAGAUAAACCAAUAAAGUUUUGUAGAAAUCUGCCUAGUCUGUAUGAUUAAAGGAUAAAUGUUGUGUUUCUUCUUUCUUUUAUUGAAGCAUUUGUAUUUGGCAGACUGCUACCUAGAGCUGCUUUGUGAAGUAGCCCCUAGUUCCCAGCAUUCUGUUUCUUUUUUGUUAAUUUAUUUUACUGUAAUUGUUUUACAAUGUUCAUCCUAACACAUAUGUAGUUUGUUUCCUUGACAAGUUUUUCCACAGUAUUUAAUGACAUUUUACUUUUUAAUGAGAAUAAAUCAAAUAUAUUCACACCAACGUGAAUGACUCCAUCCAACACAAGGUCCAGAUUACCUUGAACAUUUUUGGGAUGCACCCAAAAAGCAAAAUCUGCUUGAUUUCUUUGUCCAGCAAAAGAGAAUUGGCCAUUUAAAGCAAAGACCAGUUGAGGAGGAACAGGGACAAAGUUUUAAAUAUGUAAAUCCAAAUAUGGAAAUUGCAUAUCUCCGUAUUGUUGUUCAGCGAUUGCUACUGCAAUAUGUAAAAACCACUUACAAUUUGGACAAAGUGUCCUAUUUAAUGCAAUUUAAACCUCAAUGGUGGCCUGCUGAUCUCCCCUUUGCUUCACCAAGUGAUGGGAAGUGCAACAACAAAAACACAAGAAAAGUGCUUGGGUCUGAGGCACUGAAGCAAAUAAUAGUGUCAUACAAUUGGUACUACAAUCUUGUGCAUCACCUACCUCCCUUGAAGCUGGUCAAGAUGACUGUGUCUUUCUUGACGAAGGCAACAUUGUUAAAAAUUUGGAGUGUUUCUUUGAAAGCUGUGAUGCACAGCAAAGGGAAGUGGAUAUGUCUCCAAAUACCUGUAAUGCAACAAUGGGAUCCGAAGUCUUGGAACAGCAAUUAAUCUUUCUGUUGGAGACAAAAAUGUACAAAAGGAUUCUUGAAUUUAUGUACAACAUGAGCUGGGAUGAAUUGACAGGGAUUUCAAAAAUCCUUUCCACAAAUAUUGAAGCCUCUAGACCACUCAACCCUCCCAACCUGUCUGCAUUGCUGUCAAUGCCACAUGACAACAUGGCUUCCCCAUCUUUGGGCUUCACAGCACUGGAGGUAUCGAAAGAUGGGAAUUGUUUUUUUCAUUCCAUUGCGCUUCUCGUAACGGGAGAACAUGACAACAGCAGCUUAUUCCGGCUGGGUGCAAGUCUCCAUGGAAUAAAUCACUUGGACCAUUACCUGGACACAAUUUACUGUGGGUUAGGAGAAAACCUCAGUGAUUUGAUGUCCUGGAUCAGUAGCUUCACAGCCAGAGGCAUAACCUCAGAUUUGGACACCAGCAAUCCAAAGGAGAUGCUCAGAGUGGCAUUGCAAAAUGAAUGUAUGGAGACUCUGCUGGAUGGCGCCUAUAGUGGCGUCUUUCAGAACCUUAUCAUGGCGGGUUGGCUACAGGCAUCUAUCCAGCCUCAUUUAUCACCUGGCACUGUACAGGUCCACAAUGAGGUCUAUGCACAAGCAUUGCCACCUUGCUCCUGCUACACUGGCACCAGGAGAGAGCUCCACAUCUUGUGGACUACAGCUGAUCCUACUUGUCAAACCCUUAACCACAUUGUGCCUCUUCUACCUACAAAUGAUUACCAAAUCCAGCACCCGGCAACAGAUGAAAUCCCCGGCUUGACAUUGCGCACAACUUGUUCACAUGAAGAAUGUAUUAGACCAUCCCCAACUUCUGUGGAUGGAAAAUGGGUCCAAUGUGAUUCUACCAAGGGAUGCUCACGGUGGUGGCACUGCAUAUGUGUGGGCAUAUUUGACUGCGAAAAAAAAAAUUCAUUUGUUGUCAAAUCCAACACAUGCCAGCAUACAGUAUUUCACUGUUUGGCAGUCAAGGGAAAAGAAUCGGUCUAACUUCUUUCUCUGAUGCAAUGACCCUGGUCCCCGGAAGAGAGCUAACUAAUGGCAUUGUGGAUGCCUGCAUUGCCUGUGUCAUGGAAAGUGCUUUACUGCCCCACAGUGUUGCCCUGUCCAGUCGGGUGUCCCUCGAGUUGUUCUCAGGGAAGCGCCCAAGCCACCGACGGCUGAAUUCACUCCUCCCACAAAACCUUUCCCGUUUCAAUACCGUAAUGCUUCCAGUCCUUCAGAGUCAUCAUUGGUAUCUGGUAGUGUUGGAGAAGGAGUUUAAUGGUUUUGUGGGAUACUGCUUGGACAGUCUAAAUUGCGAUCGAAGUGCCAAUCGGUCUGCAAUAGAAAGGUGCCUUGUGUCCCAGAAAAUUGUCCAGUGGGUUUCUGUUGAGUGUUCUCAACAGAACAACAGUGUGGACUGUGGGGUUUUCCUCAUUUCAUUUCUUGAAGUCCUUGCUAAGUCACCAACUCUGGAACUUCAGAGAGUGAAGACAUUGGACAUUAACAACCAAAGAACACACUUGGCAUCACUCAGACAUGCAUCAUAACCUGAGAGGCUUGCUGUUAAAAAAUUGCCAGUUUCUGUUAAGUUAAAUAUUAAAAAUAACCUUGUCUGA